rnacentral:rRNA from 1 species
UACGAAGGGGGCUAGCGUUGCUCGGAAUUACUGGGCGUAAAGCGCACGUAGGCGGUCUUUUUAAGUCGGGGGUGAAAUCCUGGAGCUCAACUCCAGAACUGCCUUCGAUACUGGAAGACUUGAGUCCGGGAGAGGUGAGUGGAACUGCGAGUGUAGAGGUGAAAUUCGUAGAUAUUCGCAAGAACACCAGUGGCGAAGGCGGCUCACUGGCCCGGUACUGACGCUGAGGUGCGAAAGCGUGGGGAGCAACAGG